AUGAGGCGACGAAGGAGGCGGGACGGCUUUUACCCAGCCCCGGACUUCCGAGACAGGGAAGCUGAGGACAUGGCAGGAGUGUUCGACAUAGACCUGGACCAGCCAGAGGACGCGGGCUCUGAGGAUGAGCUGGAGGAGGGGGGUCAGUUAAAUGAAAGCAUGGACCAUGGGGGAGUUGGACCAUAUGAACUUGGCAUGGAACAUUGUGAGAAAUUUGAAAUCUCAGAAACUAGUGUGAACAGAGGGCCAGAAAAAAUCAGACCAGAAUGUUUUGAGCUACUUCGGGUACUUGGUAAAGGGGGCUAUGGAAAGGUUUUUCAAGUACGAAAAGUAACAGGAGCAAAUACUGGGAAAAUAUUUGCCAUGAAGGUGCUUAAAAAGGCAAUGAUAGUAAGAAAUGCUAAAGAUACAGCUCAUACAAAAGCAGAACGGAAUAUUCUGGAGGAAGUAAAGCAUCCCUUCAUCGUGGAUUUAAUUUAUGCCUUUCAGACUGGUGGAAAACUCUACCUCAUCCUUGAGUAUCUCAGUGGAGGAGAACUAUUUAUGCAGUUAGAAAGAGAGGGAAUAUUUAUGGAAGACACUGCCUGGCUUGAGUGGAACGCUCUUCACACCAGUUGUUCCUAACAGAACCAUUCUCAUUGCGGCUUUCUUUCCUUGAAUUGGCCUUUUCUAACAAAGAAGCUGCAUUUAAGAGCCUUAGGGAUGAAGUGCCCUUUUUUGGAGGAGGCUCACUGAGCCGUGUUGGAGGCUGUGUUUGUGGUCGUGCUGGCUGUGAAACUGCCUCAGUCCUCUAGGACACACCCUCUCCAUCCUGGAGUAAUCUGCAGGAUUGCAACAUUGUUAUGCAGCCAGUAUUGCAGUGCCUUGUGCUUUUCGAAUCCAGACAGGGUUGAUUCAGCCCUUUAUUCUUUUGAGCUUUUACUUGGCAGAAAUCUCCAUGGCUUUGGGGCAUUUACAUCAAAAGGGGAUCAUCUACAGAGACCUGAAGCCGGAGAAUAUCAUGCUUAAUCACCAAGGUCAUGUGAAACUAACAGACUUUGGACUAUGCAAAGAAUCUAUUCAUGAUGGAACAGUCACACACACAUUUUGUGGAACAAUAGAAUACAUGGCCCCUGAAAUCUUGAUGAGAAGUGGCCACAAUCGUGCUGUGGAUUGGUGGAGUUUGGGAGCAUUAAUGUAUGACAUGCUGACUGGAGCACCCCCAUUCACUGGGGAGAAUAGAAAGAAAACAAUUGACAAAAUCCUCAAAUGUAAACUCAAUUUGCCUCCCUACCUCACACAAGAAGCCAGAGAUCUGCUUAAAAAGCUGCUGAAAAGAAAUGCUGCUUCUCGUCUGGGAGCUGGUCCUGGGGACGCUGGAGAAGUUCAAGCUCAUCCAUUCUUUAGACACAUUAACUGGGAAGAACUUCUGGCUCGAAAGGUGGAGCCCCCCUUUAAACCUCUGUUGGUGCAUCACCCGGAUCUCUGCCUUCAUGUUCACAUGGUGUUCUACCUGUGUGCAUAUCUGUGGCCAAAUUUCCCCUUUUUCUAAGGAUACCAGGCAUAUUGGAUUAGGGCUCCUCUCUACUCCAGUAGGACCUCAUCUUCACUCAUUACAUCUGCAAUAACCCUUUCCAAAUAAGGUCACAUUCUGAGGAACUAGAGCAAUCUGAAGAGGAUGUAAGUCAGUUUGAUUCCAAGUUUACACGUCAGACACCUGUCGACAGCCCAGAUGACUCAACUCUCAGUGAAAGUGCCAAUCAGGUCUUUCUGGGUUUUACAUAUGUGGCUCCAUCUGUACUUGAAAGUGUGAAAGAAAAGUUUUCCUUUGAACCAAAAAUCCGAUCACCUCGAAGAUUUAUUGGCAGCCCACGAACACCUGUCAGCCCAGUCAAAUUUUCUCCUGGGGAUUUCUGGGGAAGAGGUGCUUCGGCCAGCACAGCAAAUCCUCAGACACCUGUGGAAUACCCAAUGGAAACAAGUGGCAUAGAGCAGAUGGAUGUGACAAUGAGUGGGGAAGCAUCGGCACCACUUCCAAUACGACAGCCGAACUCUGGGCCAUACAAAAAACAAGCUUUUCCCAUGAUCUCCAAACGGCCAGAGCACCUGCGUAUGAAUCUAUGACAGAGCAAUGCUUUUAAUGAAUUUAAGGCAAAAAAGGUGGAGAGGGAGAUGUGUGAGCAUCCUGCAAGGUGAAACAAGACUCAAAAUGACAGUUUCAGAGAGUCAAUGUCAUUACAUAGAACACUUCGGACACAGGAAAAAUAAACGUGGAUUUUAAAAAAUCAAUCAAUGGUGCAAAAAAAAACUUAAAGCAAAAUAGUAUUGCUGAACUCUUAGGCACAUCAAUUAAUUGAUUCCUCGCGACAUCUUCUCAACCUUAUCAAGGAUUUUCAUGUUGAUGACUCGAAACUGACAGUAUUAAGGGUAGGAUGUUGCUUCUGAAUCACUGUUGAGUUCUGAUUGUGUUGAAGAAGGGUUAUCCUUUCAUUAGGCAAAGUACAAAAUUGCCUAUAAUACUUGCAACUAAGGACAAAUUAGCAUGCAAGCUUGGUCAAACUUUUUCCAGCAAAAUGGAAUCAAAGACAAAAGAAACUUACCAAUUGAUGUUUUACGUGCAAACAACCUGAAUCUUUUUUUUAUAUAAAUAUAUAUUUUUCAAAUAGAUUUUUGAUUCAGCUCAUUAUGAAAAACAUCCCAAACUUUAAAAUGCGAAAUUAUUGGUUGGUGUGAAGAAAGCCAGACAACUUCUGUUUCUUCUCUUGGUGAAAUAAUAAAAUGCAAAUGAAUCAUUGUUAA